rnacentral:rRNA from 1 species
UAGAUAGGCAUGCGUUCCAUUAGGCAGUUGGCGGGGUAACGGCCCACCAAACCGACGAUGGAUAGGGGUUCUGAGAGGAAGGUCCCCCACAUUGGUACUGAGACACGGACCAAACUCCUACGGGAGGCAGCAGUGAGGAAUAUUGGUCAAUGGGCGUAAGCCUGAACCAGCCAAGUCGCGUGAGGGAUGAAGGUUCUAUGGAUCGUAAACCUCUUUUAUAAGGGAAUAGAGUGUGGGACGUGUCCUAUUUUGUAUGUACCUUAUGAAUAAGGAUCGGCUAACUCCGUGCCAGCAGCCGCGGUAAUACGGAGGAUCCGAGCGUUAUCCGGAUUUAUUGGGUUUAAAGGGUGCGUAGGCGGCCUUUUAAGUCAGCGGUGAAAGUCUGUGGCUCAACCAUAGAAUUGCCGUUGAAACUGGGGGGCUUGAGUAUGUUUGAGGCAGGCGGAAUGCGUGGUGUAGCGGUGAAAUGCUUAGAUAUCACGCAGAACCCCGAUUGCGAAGGCAGCCUGCCAAGCCAUGACUGACGCUGAUGCACGAAAGCGUGGGGAUCAAACAGGAUUAGAUACCCUGGUAGUCCACGC